CUUACGUAUUCUAAGGUUAGACUUAGCUAUUGCCCUUUUCCUAAGCUGUGUCUUGUCCACAUGUUGUCCUUAAUAUUUCACAAAUACUCAAAAUACUUUUGAGGACACUACUGCAUAAAGAAACAAUGGGAGUGCCUGCUAUUGUGAUUAAUGGUUACUGGAACUAGAAAUUCUUUUUUCUUGUGGCAGACUGCCUGGCUUUGGGGACUCAUAAUGGUUUUAUUCAAAGGAAUCACCCCUCUUGGGGGGUAUUUUCGUGCUUCCUACUUUACACCCAGGAGGUAGCUUCUUUGUCAGUUUAGAGGUAGCUAGACUCCAUGCCAUUUGCAGUUUGUUUCCUGAAUCCCUGAGAACCGGGUUUUUUUUUGUUUUUAGAAAGUGACAUAGGUGCUUUUAUUGUCCCCACUUUACAAAGACGGUUACUGAGGCAUGGAGGGGCUUCGUGGCAUAGCGACGGUCAGAGUCAGCAGAACCCUUCUCGGGGUUGUUAGGCAGGUGAAAUGACAUAUGGAAUGAAAACUGCUUAUUGAUCUGUUGUUCUGUCUGCUUCAGCCAGGGCUGAGCAAGCUUCACACGUUCUGUUUUUUCUAGUCUAGAUAUACCAUCUGGCCUGAGACCCGGGCACCUUUAUGAAGUCCUGUUUGGACUUAGCUGAUUAUCUAGGUGGGUGUUGGAAGCCAGUCUGGCAUGUAGGCUCUGGACUUACCAUCCUCUUGCAACGGCCCAGGAGUCGCUGCUUGUCUGACUUCAGAGCUGCUACCAGCUGGAAGCCGAGGUUUUGAAUGUGUAUAAAUUGGUUGCAGGAGUUGCUCCUGCUGGUGGUGCUGCCAGCUUCUUGCAGGGCAGGCAGUUGUGGUGGAGUUGGGUAUGGCCAGGGAUGCUGCGAGCGGCUCCUCUCACAAUCGGGUUGUGUAAUGAGCUUUUCCAAUCUGUUUGGAGUCAGCAACCACUCAUGGCCUCUUCCUGUAGGGUGUUCUGCCAUUCUGGUAUUCAUCCUUGAGCUCUACGUGUGUUACCUGAAUAUAUAAAUUGUAACAUUUCUUCUGCAGAUUCUCUCUUGGUCUUUCUACAUUAGCUCUACCAAAGAGAAUAAAGCCCGUGCUCUCUAUUCAGUGUCAAGAGUAAGGGCAAUAAUUGUCCUUCGGUUUAAUAUUCCAGCCAAACCACUGAGGGUAUAUUGGUUCCUUUUUGGAUAAAACAUAUCUUAGGAGGAUGUUGACAGGUUGGAGUGACCCAGAAGUGGGCAGGUGUUUUAUUAGAAACCAUGUCAUGUGGAGGAUGAUUGUAGGGAGGGGAUUUUUUAGUCUAGAGGUAGAUGAUGAUAAUGGCUAACACUUUACUGAAUGUUGAUUGCGUGUCAAGCAGUGUACAAAGGAUUUUACAUGUGUUAUCCCAUGUACUUAUCAUACAAAAAGCCUGUGAGGCAGGUAUGGCUGUUAGCCCCAUUAUGCAGAUGAGGGAACUGAAGUACUGAGUUCCAUUUUUCUUUCUGGUAAAGUUCAGACUUUUUGGCCCAGCGCUGGGGAUAUUCUACACUUGCACUCACCUCAUCUUGUUUGCCUUUUUGCUUCUUUCCCAGAUCCUACAGCUGAAUCCCGUUGUGCUUCCCCAUUGAAAAGGAAUUAUGAGAUAUCAUAAAUAAAAGCUCAUAGCCCAGUGUCAGCAUACAUACUAGACCUCUGGGAAAUGUCAGUGGUCUCUUCUCAUUUUUCAAAUUAUCCAUCCAUCUCUGCUUUUCAAAAUCCUAUUCAUCCUUCAGGACCCAAUUUAAAUGUGAUCUCCUCCAGAAAACCCUGCCUGAUCUCAUAAACCGGUGAUAAUCUGCCCCUUCUUGACUCCUAGAGUACUCUGUUUAUUUCAUCCUGAUGGCGUUUACAACAUUUGACCUUGAACUCUCGUUUCCGGUCUUUUGUCCACCACCUGAUUAUAAACUCGGAGGGGCGGAGGCGAAUCGUGUUCCCCAACGUCAUCCUCCAGCAGAGACCUUGACACGUAGCAGGUGUCACAGAAAUAUGUGGAUAAGUGAAUGAGUUAUGGCAUUUCAUGACAGACUUCUCUUUUCAUAAAUGUCUGGAUUAAGCUAACAAAAAUUAUUUUGUGUUCCCUGAGCGCAUUGUACUUGUCUGUGGGAGUGGGAAUUGUGGCAUGAUUUUAGGCUGAGUGAUUUACAAGCCAACCUGGGAUUGCAGACAUGAAAUAAACCACAGAGAGAAAAAUCCACAAGCAGAUAAUGGCUUUUUGUGUGUUGCUAGUCCUUCAUAGUUUCU
rnacentral:lncRNA from 1 species